UCCUUUCUUAACGAAUGUUUCAAUGCUGGCUGUAGUAACAAUUUCAUAUCUUGCAUCUCUCGGGUGCAUCAUGUUCACGGGUUUGAAAAAGCAUUUGUGGUAAUGCUUCAAAGCUUGUACAAUGGCUGUGAAAAGGCACAUUCAAUUAGGUACGUUUUGGUGCGGUCUCCCAAUGCUAAUAUUAUAUUUUGUAUAGCAAUUAAAAUUUAGCUAUACAAUCUUAAUAUGCAAUAAAUCAUUGUAUACAAAGUUUUCUAUUAAUUAUAUGGUGACUGAAAUUUUAAUUAUCAUAUAUCAAUUUAAAUUUUUUUGUUACUCUCUUUUACUUUGCUUGUACAGAGUACCUGUUUUGGCUGAUAUGUCUAAUUCGUAGAAAUUCAUUUCCAUCGGUUUCCAUUGGCUUUAGCACAAACCGAAACAGAUCUCUGGGGAAAAGUUUUACUUCUUGUGAUAUUAUGCCUUUGUUUCUUCAUUCAUCAUAUUUUUCGAAUUCAUGCUCUCAUUCAG
rnacentral:lncRNA from 1 species